GGUGCGCAGGCGGAUAGACAAGUCAGAUGUGAAAAUUAUGGGCUUAACCCAUAAACUGCAUUUGAAACUGUUUAUCUUGAGUACAGGAGAGGUAAGCGGAAUUCCCGGUGUAGCGGUGAAAUGCGUAGAGAUCGGGAGGAACACCAGUGGCGAAGGCGGCUUACUGGACUGAAACUGACGCUGAGGCACGAAAGUGUGGGGAGCAAACAGGAUUAGAUACCCUGGUAGUCCACACUGUAAACGAUGAUUACUAGGUGUAGGGGGUAUCGACCCCCCCUGUGCCGGAGUUAACACAAUAAGUAAUCCACCUGGGGAGUACGAUCGCAAGAUUGAAACUCAAAGGAAUUGACGGGGGCCCGCACAAGCAGUGGAGUAUGUGGUUUAAUUCGAAGCAACGCGAAGAACCUUACCAGGGCUUGACAUCCUACUAACGAAGCAGAGAUGCAUUAGGUGCCCUUCGGGGAAAGUAGAGACAGGUGGUGCAUGGUUGUCGUCAGCUCGUGUCGUGAGAUGUUGGGUUAAGUCCCGCAACGAGCGCAACCCUUACCUUUAGUUGCUACGCAAGAGCACUCUAAAGGGACUGCCGUUGAUAAAACGGAGGAAGGUGGGGACGACGUC
rnacentral:rRNA from 1 species